rnacentral:tRNA from 1 species
AGCGAGGUAGAGUAGCCAGGUAAACUCGCAGGGCUCAUAACCCUGAGAUCGAUCGGUUCAAAUCCAUCCCUCGCUA